GAUGACUUUUGUGCUUGCACAAAAUGAUUAGUGGCGAACGGGUGAGUAACACGUGAGUAACCUGCCCUUAACUUCGGGAUAAGCCUGGGAAACCGGGUCUAAUACCGGAUACGACGGACCGCCGCAUGGUGGUCCGUGGAAAGCUUUAUGCGGUUUUGGAUGGACUCGCGGCCUAUCAGCUAGUUGGUUGGGGUAACGGCCCACCAAGGCGACGACGGGUAGCCGGCCUGAGAGGGUGACCGGCCACACUGGGACUGAGACACGGCCCAGACUCCUACGGGAGGCAGCAGUGGGGAAUAUUGCACAAUGGGCGAAAGCCUGAUGCAGCGACGCCGCGUGAGGGACGAAGGCCUUCGGGUUGUAAACCUCUUUCAGCAGGGAAGAAGCGAAAGUGACGGUACCUGCAGAAGAAGCGCCGGCUAACUACGUGCCAGCAGCCGCGGUAAUACGUAGGGCGCAAGCGUUAUCCGGAAUUAUUGGGCGUAAAGAGCUCGUAGGCGGUUUGUCGCGUCUGCUGUGAAAGCCCGGGGCUCAACCCCGGGUCUGCAGUGGGUACGGGCAGACUAGAGUGCAGUAGGGGAGACUGGAAUUCCUGGUGUAGCGGUGAAAUGCGCAGAUAUCAGGAGGAACACCGAUGGCGAAGGCAGGUCUCUGGGCUGUAACUGACGCUGAGGAGCGAAAGCAUGGGGAGCGAACAGGAUUAGAUACCCUGGUAGUCCAUGCCGUAAACGUUGGGCACUAGGUGUGGGGGACAUUCCACGUUUUCCGCGCCGUAGCUAACGCA
rnacentral:rRNA from 1 species